UACGGGGGGGGGCAAGCGUUGUUCGGAAUUACUGGGCGUAAAGGGUGCGUAGGCGGCUUUCUAAGUCGGAUGUGAAAACUCUGGGCUCAACCCAGAGCCUGCAUCUGAAACUGGAGAGCUAGGGUUCUGGAGGGGAAAGCGGAAUUCCUGGUGUAGCGGUGAAAUGCGUAGAUAUCAGGAGGAACAGCCGGUGGCGAAGGCGGCUUUCUGGACAGAUACCGACGCUGAGGCACGAAAGCUAGGGGAGCAAACAGG
rnacentral:rRNA from 1 species